CUUUGGGGUUGUCUUGGUUGUGAGUUUUUCAACAGACAUAUCACGGUAAAUUUACACCAUUUUUACAUGACUAGCUAAAUGCAUACAUUUGUCAUCAAAAUUACCCAAACACAAGCACUGACUUGAGUUCUGAAUGCAGUAAGUGCUUCUUGUUGGGGUAGUUUUGCUGACCUCUGCAUCUUCAGGUGCCUAAGCUGUGUGUCAUUUGAAAACUUCAGUAAGAGAUGCACUUCAAUUUUAAUCACAUUCUGCAACUGACAUACAAGACAAGUAAAUAUAACAAAGUACAUUGCUUGUGAUUCUCUACUGAAUCCCUUCAUAAACUUUAUAUGUAGAUUCCUAAUUUUUGUAGACAUGCAAUAAUUCCUGCUGUCUCAGAAGCUGUCUUAGGGUCUUGUUGCAGAAUGUGCCCUUUGGAGUAGAUAUUCAGUGCUAACUCUGCUUCUUUGUUUUGCUUUAAAGUACUGCUGAUGGAGCUGCAAUGGCAGGCCACCAUGUGGCAAUGAGUUGCAUCAAGAAAACUCAUUGGAGUCUAAUUGACCACUCAACAACUUCUUAUGGCAUGCAUGAAUUGAAGCUGAUGGUUGUCUGUUCAUCAAGUACAAAUAGUGUUAUUGUUUACUUACCGUUGUCAAGACCAUUGAAACUUCAUGAAAAAGAAGGCGGAGUUGGGUGCAAAUGGAUGCAUACUGUGUUUAAGAUGGGCAAAUCUGUGCCAGAAACAUCACAUCCACUGUGACUGGGACACCACACACAAGAUGCCAGAAUUAAACAGCGGGACUAUGGAGAAACUCAUAAGCAAAGAAGAUGACUCACUGCAAGUCUGUCAUAUUGGCCCAACUUGAGCAUUGAGUUGUGCUUGAAUUCAUACUGCUGAUGGAGCUGCAAUGGCAGGCCACCAUGUGGCAAUGAGUUGCAUCAAGAAAACUCAUUGGAGUCUAAUUGACCACUCAACAACUUCUUAUGGCAUGCAUGAAUUGAAGCUGAUGGUUGUCUGUUCAUCAAGUACAAAUAGUGUUAUUGUUUACUUACCGUUGUCAAGACCAUUGAAACUUCAUGAAAAAGAAGGCGGAGUUGGGUGCAAAUGGAUGCAUACUGUGUUUAAGAUGGGCAAAUCUGUGCCAGAAACAUCACAUCCACUGUGACUGGGACACCACACACAAGAUGCCAGAAUUAAACAGCGGGACUAUGGAGAAACUCAUAAGCAAAGAAGAUGACUCACUGCAAGUCUGUCAUAUUGGCCCAACUUGAGCAUUGAGUUGUGCUUGAAUUCAUACUGCUGAUGGAGCUGCAAUGGCAGGCCACCAUGUGGCAAUGAGUUGCAUCAAGAAAACUCAUUGGAGUCUAAUUGACCACUCAACAACUUCUUAUGGCAUGCAUGAAUUGAAGCUGAUGGUUGUCUGUUCAUCAAGUACAAAUAGUGUUAUUGUUUACUUACCGUUGUCAAGACCAUUGAAACUUCAUGAAAAAGAAGGCGGAGUUGGGUGCAAAUGGAUGCAUACUGUGUUUAAGAUGGGCAAAUCUGUGCCAGAAACAUCACAUCCACUGUGACUGGGACACCACACACAAGAUGCCAGAAUUAAACAGCGGGACUAUGGAGAAACUCAUAAGCAAAGAAGAUGACUCACUGCAAGUCUGUCAUAUUGGCCCAACUUGAGCAUUGAGUUGUGCUUGAAUUCAUACUGCUGAUGGAGCUGCAAUGGCAGGCCACCAUGUGGCAAUGAGUUGCAUCAAGAAAACUCAUUGGAGUCUAAUUGACCACUCAACAACUUCUUAUGGCAUGCAUGAAUUGAAGCUGAUGGUUGUCUGUUCAUCAAGUACAAAUAGUGUUAUUGUUUACUUACCGUUGUCAAGACCAUUGAAACUUCAUGAAAAAGAAGGCGGAGUUGGGUGCAAAUGGAUGCAUACUGUGUUUAAGAUGGGCAAAUCUGUGCCAGAAACAUCACAUCCACUGUGACUGGGACACCACACACAAGAUGCCAGAAUUAAACAGCGGGACUAUGGAGAAACUCAUAAGCAAAGAAGAUGACUCACUGCAAGUCUGUCAUAUUGGCCCAACUUGAGCAUUGAGUUGUGCUUGAAUUCAUACUGCUGAUGGAGCUGCAAUGGCAGGCCACCAUGUGGCAAUGAGUUGCAUCAAGAAAACUCAUUGGAGUCUAAUUGACCACUCAACAACUUCUUAUGGCAUGCAUGAAUUGAAGCUGAUGGUUGUCUGUUCAUCAAGUACAAAUAGUGUUAUUGUUUACUUACCGUUGUCAAGACCAUUGAAACUUCAUGAAAAAGAAGGCGGAGUUGGGUGCAAAUGGAUGCAUACUGUGUUUAAGAUGGGCAAAUCUGUGCCAGAAACAUCACAUCCACUGUGACUGGGACACCACACACAAGAUGCCAGAAUUAAACAGCGGGACUAUGGAGAAACUCAUAAGCAAAGAAGAUGACUCACUGCAAGUCUGUCAUAUUGGCCCAACUUGAGCAUUGAGUUGUGCUUGAAUUCAUACUGCUGAUGGAGCUGCAAUGGCAGGCCACCAUGUGGCAAUGAGUUGCAUCAAGAAAACUCAUUGGAGUCUAAUUGACCACUCAACAACUUCUUAUGGCAUGCAUGAAUUGAAGCUGAUGGUUGUCUGUUCAUCAAGUACAAAUAGUGUUAUUGUUUACUUACCGUUGUCAAGACCAUUGAAACUUCAUGAAAAAGAAGGCGGAGUUGGGUGCAAAUGGAUGCAUACUGUGUUUAAGAUGGGCAAAUCUGUGCCAGAAACAUCACAUCCACUGUGACUGGGACACCACACACAAGAUGCCAGAAUUAAACAGCGGGACUAUGGAGAAACUCAUAAGCAAAGAAGAUGACUCACUGCAAGUCUGUCAUAUUGGCCCAACUUGAGCAUUGAGUUGUGCUUGAAUUCAUACUGCUGAUGGAGCUGCAAUGGCAGGCCACCAUGUGGCAAUGAGUUGCAUCAAGAAAACUCAUUGGAGUCUAAUUGACCACUCAACAACUUCUUAUGGCAUGCAUGAAUUGAAGCUGAUGGUUGUCUGUUCAUCAAGUACAAAUAGUGUUAUUGUUUACUUACCGUUGUCAAGACCAUUGAAACUUCAUGAAAAAGAAGGCGGAGUUGGGUGCAAAUGGAUGCAUACUGUGUUUAAGAUGGGCAAAUCUGUGCCAGAAACAUCACAUCCACUGUGACUGGGACACCACACACAAGAUGCCAGAAUUAAACAGCGGGACUAUGGAGAAACUCAUAAGCAAAGAAGAUGACUCACUGCAAGUCUGUCAUAUUGGCCCAACUUGAGCAUUGAGUUGUGCUUGAAUUCAUACUGCUGAUGGAGCUGCAAUGGCAGGCCACCAUGUGGCAAUGAGUUGCAUCAAGAAAACUCAUUGGAGUCUAAUUGACCACUCAACAACUUCUUAUGGCAUGCAUGAAUUGAAGCUGAUGGUUGUCUGUUCAUCAAGUACAAAUAGUGUUAUUGUUUACUUACCGUUGUCAAGACCAUUGAAACUUCAUGAAAAAGAAGGCGGAGUUGGGUGCAAAUGGAUGCAUACUGUGUUUAAGAUGGGCAAAUCUGUGCCAGAAACAUCACAUCCACUGUGACUGGGACACCACACACAAGAUGCCAGAAUUAAACAGCGGGACUAUGGAGAAACUCAUAAGCAAAGAAGAUGACUCACUGCAAGUCUGUCAUAUUGGCCCAACUUGAGCAUUGAGUUGUGCUUGAAUUCAUACUGCUGAUGGAGCUGCAAUGGCAGGCCACCAUGUGGCAAUGAGUUGCAUCAAGAAAACUCAUUGGAGUCUAAUUGACCACUCAACAACUUCUUAUGGCAUGCAUGAAUUGAAGCUGAUGGUUGUCUGUUCAUCAAGUACAAAUAGUGUU